CGGGAAUGUGCGCUUCGCUUUUCUCAACCAUUCACUGGAGUUAGUGAUGACGAACGGUUUGUCUGUUCUGUAGGAGCUAUUCAACGUACCGUAGUCUUUAGUUUUUUUUGGCGCAACAUUACAACAUUAAGAAACAAGACAAAUUUAAAAAAGAGAACAAAGCAACAAAGUAAGCGACUAUAAGGAACAGUUGUUCUACUAGGCCGAUUUGCAUGACAGGGUCGGCUAUAGACAAUACUGCGUGCGAUGGAUGAAGAUCCUGUGACAGCACCUAACCGAUUUGGAAUAAGUUAGCUGGAUGCCAGUAAUAAUAAUAUUAUGCAGCUUUCAAGUUUUUUUUUUAUUAAUUCCGCUGAUUUAUGCUUCACACAACUGAGCCUAUAAGGAGGUUUAAUAGGAGUUUAUGUGUGCGUUUACCAUGUGAAACUGCACUGCAUUUUUGAUAUUUCCUAUUUAUUCAUUUAUUGUGUUGUUUUAUCCGUUUAUUUAUUUAUUUUUUUUUUGUUCCGUGUUAGUAGCCAGCCAGAGAUACAGCGGGAAAAGUCGUUGUGCAGAUAUUUAGAGCAGCAUUAGAUUGAAGAUAAAGACCAAGAGUUGUUAUUGCACGGUAUCAUUGUAAGAUACAGACGGCAAGGCGCCAAUAUUAUUGAAACGAGUCCUAUUAUGGUACCAGUAAUUAUUAAUGUACAUAAGUAACCCGGAUACUCCGACCCAGACUCUAUCUGAUGGCUUUGAGAAUCUCAGAAUUCAUCUCUAAUGCGAAAUUUUAGUUUUGAACUUUUCACUCAAAAUUCUAUUGGGUCUCCUUUUCAACUCCCAAAUAUCAAAAAUUUUCAACUCUGGGGAAACUCUAAUAAUUACAUAUGAGUAGUUUAUAUACAUUCCGAACUAAGGAAAUGGGCGCUGUUCAUAAAUUAGUGUCUUAGAUAGUCUAUUCACAAGUCUGAUAUCAAAUAGGCCUGUACAAGCACUUAUUGAACUUGAACUGUUUGUGUGAACUCAUUCUCUAGGUACCACAAAAAAAGUUUUCAGCAGCAAUUCACAUAGCUACUCCAAACCAGGUGUAAUAAUAUAAUGGGUAUAUAUCUGCUAAUUUAUUAAGCUGUUUGAUCUCAUCUAGAAUGUUUUGAAGUAUAAGUUAAUUUCAAAGGACAGUUCUUUGAUUGAGCUCUUGUGUCCUUCGAUGAAGUGAGGACGGACGCUAAAUGUCCUUUAUUUCUAGCAUCUAUUCUGCGAUAAAAGCUGCAAAAUAUUUAAAAGUAUAUAUAUAUAUACAUAUUAAAAAUAAUAACUGUACAAUAUACAUAACAAAAUAAUCUUGUAGGUCCGGGAUGGCGACUCCGAAACUGGCCAACUUCAGUUGAAAUGUUGCCAGUGACGACGAGCUAAGAUGACGUGUCGAAGCUAAUUUGUUGAUGAACUGAUGAAUUAGGUCAUUUUACACAUGGUGGUGUAAUGAAUGUCUCAGACAAAUUGCAAGACGCAAGUAGACUGUCAUUGCUUUUCUGGGAUAAAUUUCUUAGUACCAAUGGCUUUUUAAAACGUCGCAAAGUGCCUGGAAAUAUUAACAAUUUUUUGCCUGCUUUAUCCGGAUCCGGACGGUUUGUCUGUUCUGUAGGAGCUAUUCAACGUACCGUAGUCUUUAGUUUUUUUUGGCGCAACAUUACAACAUUAAGGGGUUCCGGCAAAUCAAGAUUUUAAGUGUCGAUAAUCGCGAGAUAAACAACAUAAUCAAAAAGGUUGAAGCAAGGAACUUCCGAGAUAAAAGAACAAUCUUUUAUGAAAUCCAAUUUAAACCUAAACCAAAGUUUGAUUCCCCGAUAUACUGCAUGGUUUGACAAUUGUGUGGAUCAUUGUUGUACAAAGAAAUAUCGACUAUAGACUGGGGAAUUUACGUUUGCAAACAUGCGACGAUAGUCGUUACACAGGGAAACAAGACAAAUUUAAAAAAGAGAACAAAGCAACAAAGUAAGCGACUAUAAGGAACAGUUGUUCUACUAGGCCGAUUUGCAUGACAGGGUCGGCUAUAGACAAUACUGCGUGCGAUGGAUGAAGAUCCUGUGACAGCACCUAACCGAUUUGGAAUAAGUUAGCUGGAUGCCAGUAAUAAUAAUAUUAUGCAGCUUUCAAGUUUUUUUUUUAUUAAUUCCGCUGAUUUAUGCUUCACACAACUGAGCCUAUAAGGAGGUUUAAUAGGAGUUUAUGUGUGCGUUUACCAUGUGAAACUGCACUGCAUUUUUGAUAUUUCCUAUUUAUUCAUUUAUUGUGUUGUUUUAUCCGUUUAUUUAUUUAUUUUUUUUUGU